AUUGAACGCUGGCGGCAUGCCUUACACAUGCAAGUCGAACGGCAGCACGGGUGCUUGCACCUGGUGGCGAGUGGCGAACGGGUGCGUAAUACAUCGGCACCUGUCCUGUAGUGGGGGAUAGCCCUGCGAAAGCCGGAUUAAUACCGCAUACGAUCCCCGGAUGAAAGCGGGGGCCCUUCGGCCCCCGCCCUUUCGGGUUGGCCGAUGGCUGAUUAGCUAGUUGGUGGGGUAAGGGCCUACCACGGCGACGAUCAGUAGCGGGUCGGAGAGGACGACCAGCAAGACGGGAAGGGGGACACGGCCAAGACUACGAGGGGGGGAAGAGGGGGGGAAUAUUGGAAAGUGGGCGAAAGCGGGAUCCAGAAAGGCCGGGGGGGGGAAGAAGGCCUUCGGGUUGAAAAGCAGUUUUGUCGGGAAAGAAAAGCAGGAGGUUAAUACGGCGGGGGGAUGAGGGUACCAAAAGAAUAAGCACGGGCUAACUUCGUG
rnacentral:rRNA from 1 species